rnacentral:sRNA from 1 species
AGAGACAAAGCAUGGAGGACACAAGAACGGGAGGAAAGGCGGACUCUCAGGAACUUCAUUCUUCACGUGGUUUAUGGUGAUUGCAUUGCUGGGCGUCUGGACGUCUGUAGCUGUCGUUUGGUUUGAUCUUGUUGACUAUGAGGAAGUUCUAGGAAAACUAGGAAUCUAUGAUGCUGAUGGUGAUGGAGAUUUUGAUGUGGAUGAUGCCAAAGUUUUAUUAGGCAAGUACACAUUUUAUGUUUUUUGUUAGUGGUGAUAAAACGCUGGAAACAAUUAUUUUUGCUUUAAUAAUAUCUAUCUCAAUAGUAUAUAUCUUACAGGAGACUUUUCUCCCUUAAAUCAUAUAUUUCAUUACUGUUAAAAUUUUAAAUGGCUUAUUUUUCCACACUCUUUCAUGUCAAUUUACUUUUAUCAAUGAAUAAGUGUAUAUCUCUUACACAUAUCUUUUGAUAAGUAUAAUAAUUUCAUGUGUAUUUCCAGAUUUAAAGUACUUCUUAUUCUGAACUUAGAAUUUGAAUAGAUAAUAUCCUAGUCUGUUUUUAGAUAUGGUAAUUAUAGCCAUUUUUCAUUAAUAUUACACAUUCACUUCCAUUUCAAAAUGUAAAUUUCUACAGGCUUACAUAAAUUAAUGAUGAAAUAAAAUUGAUAAUAAACAUCUUAAAA